UUUCCCCCGGCUCCCCUUCUCUUUUUUCUGCCAUGUGGUAGCUCCCACACCACCCAUCACCUCACUUUCUCUCACCGAGUCACUCUCUCAGCUCUCUCAUUCUCGGAUCCCUCUCACUCUCACAUAUCUCUCUACACCCAUCUCUCCCCUCCCCGGCGAUCCGCACCCACACACCCAUACACCAUCCCCUCCGACAAACCACGACAUCAACACCAUCACCUGAACCUUCCCUCUCCCUUUCCCCCGUCCCUGUGAAACACCGGGACACCCACAUCACACCCAGGUUUAGUGAGCCGUGGAGUCGAGGUCGAAUAUCUGGCCGAUUCCUUCCAUAUCACGGCAAUCAAAGGUAAGGAACCUCUCCCUCUCACCUCCACCUUCAGUUUCAUGGUUAAAUCGUACCUUAUAGUGUUGGUUUGCCGUUGACCGGAGCACAGAAGGCUCCGACUUCCUUCCCCAGCGAGAAACCAAUCCAGGCCUUCGGGCUUAGGACUUUUGGGCUGGGCUGUCAAGCCCAAGGCCCGUUGAAACUAAACCCAAAAACCCAAAAGGAUCAGGUGUGAGGACCUGCACUUAAAAAAAAAAAUACUUAUAUAAUAAUUACGUGUUGAUUAUUGUGGUUAGUUUCAUUGAACUUUGUAUUAUAAAUUGUUUAGAUAUUUUCCAUUGGUAAUUUAUAAAUUACUUUAUACAGUGUUUUAUACUGUAGAUGGAUUUUCAGAAGUGACCUUGGUAUCCAAUUUCAUCACAUAAAUUUAAGCCCAAUUAUUUACCCUUACCAACAGUUAGUUAACCUUACUAAUGUCAGCCGCUUCCAAUUCUUCUUCCUUACUUCUUAUUUAUUCUCUUCUUAUCUCCACGACCAGGUGUAAAGGUCCGAGGCCUUCUCAUUUUUGUUUCUCCAUUUGAUUGACAGCUCCUGCUCUCUAGCAUCUAAUAUCCCAUAUGCUAGUAUACUAUAUUAUAUUUUAAGUACUUGUUCAGCACUCUAAGAAGCUGCUGCCUUCUCCGACUAUAAAUAGGGAGCUGCACCUGCAUUUCAUUUUAGACAUUAGUAUCUUAUGGGGAAGAGAGAGAGAGAAGGGAGUAAGAAACCAGAAGCUGAGGUGCUUCUUAAUCGGCGGUGUCAAAUCUGUAGCAGGAUAAAUAUGGGAGCUUAUCACAGUUGUGGUUUCUUGUGUUAUUAUCUCGGAGCAAUGCUUUGGAAUCCAGGUAGGGGAAUUUGGGGAAUUAACUGAUUGUCUUUGUUACUUGUAUUUCGUGAAAUAUUGUUAUGUGAACUUGAGAUAUAUUCAACUAUUGACUUAGAUGUGAUUUGUUAUGUGGUAUAUUAUAUAUUGGCAUGAUCAUUAUCAUUUGUCAACGAAGUAAAGGAGUUACUUAUGUUGUGGGAAAAAUGUGGAAAUUAGCUUUUGUGUAGUUGAGUUUGUUCAUUGUGAAACCGGUUCCAAGCGAGCCCGAAGUGCACAGUAGAAUAGGAUAUCGACGGGAAUUGUCGAUGUGGGUGAUUUGCGCUGGAGAUCAAUGAAUCAGAUAAGAUGACUAGCAAAAGCGUUAUGAACUUGGGUUAGUUGAUGGGGGUUAUUCUAUAUAUUAAAGCACUCGGGACCACAGGGAUAAAAUGCAUGGUAUGGGACAUGCAGGUCUGGUUGCUUCAAUAUAUAGAUUAAUGGGUUGGGUAGAAAAGAAGUUUUGUUCUUGCAUUACAUUACUCAUAAAACAUUCAUAACAUUAAUAAUAUUAAUCACUUGAGGCCUUGGGCCCUAUUGAGCUUUUAGCUCACCCCUUAUUAGUUGUGUAAUUAGUUGUGUUACAGGAGAUGUGACAGGAAUCUAGUGGCUGAUUUGGAAGAAAGAGACUGCUUAUAAAUAGUUUUAAACUUUUUAAGGGGUGGUUGUCACUUUCUUUUAUGUGUAAUGACUAUGUAAAUUAUUUUGUUUAAUGAAAAGUUUUAGUUAAACCCA